GGGGGGGGGGGGGGGGGGGCGGGGGGCGGGGAGGGGGGGCGGAGGGGCGGGGGGGGGGCGGCGCGGGGGGUAGCGGGGGGCGGGUGAGUAACACGUGGAUGACCUGCCUAUAAGACUGGGAGAACGUCGGGAAACCGGAGCUAAUACCGGAUAAUAUUUUGAACCGCAUGGUUCAAAAGUGAAAGACGGUCCUGCUGUCACUUAUAGAUGGAUCCGCGCUGCAUUAGCUCGUUGGUAAGGUAACGGCUUACCAAGGCAACGAUGCAUAGCCGACCUGAGAGGGUGAUCGGCCACACUGGAACUGAGACACGGUCCAGACUCCUACGGGAGGCAGCAGUAGGGAAUCUUCCGCAAUGGGCGAAAGCCUGACGGAGCAACGCCGCGUGAGUGAUGAAGGUCUUCGGAUCGUAAAACUCUGUUAUUAGGGAAGAACAUAUGUGUAAGUAACUGUGCACAUCUUGACGGUACCUAAUCAGAAAGCCACGGCUAACUACGUG
rnacentral:rRNA from 1 species